UACGUAGGGGGCAAGCGUUGUCCGGAUUUAUUGGGCGUAAAGAGCUCGUAGGCGGUCAGUCGCGUCUGCUGUGAAAACUCGGGGCUUAACUCCGGGCCUGCAGUGGGUACGGGCUGACUAGAGUGCGGUAGGGGAGACUGGAAUUCCUGGUGUAGCGGUGAAAUGCGCAGAUAUCAGGAGGAACACCGGUGGCGAAGGCGGGUCUCUGGGCCGUAACUGACGCUGAGGAGCGAAAGCGUGGGGAGCGAACAGG
rnacentral:rRNA from 1 species